AACGCACAUUGCACCCUUUGGUAUUCCGAAGGGUACACCUGUUCGAGCGUCAUUAAAUUCUUCAAGCUUUAUGGCUUGGUAUUGGUUAAAGUUCAUUUUGAACUCUUCCAUAACUUAUUAGACAAAAACUUUUUAACUUUAAACGUAACAAGAAAACUUUCAUCGUUUUGUUGUUAAAAAAGUUUCUUGUCUUUUAAAACUCUUUUAAACUUGACCUCGGAUCAGGUGAGGAUACCCGCUGAACUUAA
rnacentral:misc_RNA from 1 species